GAUGAACGCUGGCGGCGUGCUUAACACAUGCAAGUCGAACGUGAAGACGUAGCAAUAUGUCUGAAAGUGGCGGACGGGUGAGUAACACGUGGGUGACCUGCCUUGGAGUGGGGAUAACCAUGGGAAACUGUGGCUAAUACCGCAUGGUCUUAUGAAUGUGGGAACAUUGAUAAGUAAAGCUUUAGUGCUUCAAGAGGGGCCUGCGUCCGAUUAGCUAGUUGGUAGGGUAAUGGCCUACCAAGGCGAUGAUCGGUAGCUGGUCUGAGAGGACGAUCAGCCACACGGGAACUGAGAGACGGUCCCGACUCCUACGGGGGGCAGCAGUGAGGAAUAUUGGGCAAUGGACGCAAGUCUGACCCAGCAACGCCGCGUGGAGGAUGAAGUCUUUGGAUUGUAAACUCCUUUUGCCGGGAAAGGCGAGGACGGUACCCGGAGAAUAAGUCACGGCUAACUACGUG
rnacentral:rRNA from 1 species